AUUGAACGCUGGCGGCAGGCCUAACACAUGCAAGUCGAGCGAGUGGCGGACGGGUGAGUAAUGUCUGGGAAACUGCCUGAUGGAGGGGGAUCACUACUGGGAACGGUAGCUAAUACCGCAUACCAUCGGAUGUGCCCAGAUGGGAUUAGCUAGUAGGUGGGGUAACGGCGUACCUAGGCGACGAUCCCUAGCUGGUCUGAGAGGAUGACCAGCCACACGGGAACUGAGACACGGUCCAGACUCCUACGGGAGGCAGCAGUGGGGAAUAUUGCACAAUGGGCGAAAGCCUGAUGCAGCCAUGCCGCGUGUGUGAAGAAGGCCUUCGGGUUGUAAAGCACUUUCAGCGGGGAGGCGUUACUAGCAGAAGAAGCACCGGCUAACUCCGUGCCAGCAGCCGCGGUAAUUC
rnacentral:rRNA from 1 species